rnacentral:misc_RNA from 1 species
UCUCCGUUGGUGAACCAGCGGAGGGAUCAUUACCGAGUUUUUCUACUCCCAAACCCCUGUGAACUUAUACCUUUACUGUUGCUCCGGCGGGUUAACGCCCCGGAAGGCCCAAAAAGCCGCCGGAACCAGGCGCCCGCCGGGGACCCAAACUCUUGUAUUUCUUACAGCUCUGAGCAAAAAUUCAAAAUGAAUCAAAACUUUCAACAACGGAUCUCUUGGUUCUG